rnacentral:lncRNA from 1 species
GGCAUUUCUCUGCUCUGACCGGGCUGCUCUGACGGGCAUUUCUCUGAUCUGAUAGGCAUUUCUCUGCUCUGACCGGGUAUUUCUCUGCUCUACUCUACGGGCUACACUGUUUUGCGCCUCUGCUCUAUGGGCUACUUUGAUCUAUUCUAAUCGCUGCUCAGCGAGAAAUAAGCCGCCUUUUGGCGUGCUACUGUUAUCUAUUGGUCUUCUCACGCGCUGGAUUUUUUACGCGCUCAACAACAGGGUAUAUUGUUCAGACUCGACAAAUAUUUAUGACGGGUUUUCUCACAUGAUCAGAGUAUCAUAUUUCUCAACUUCGACAUGGGUCUUCCUAUGUUAUUCGGGUAUUCUUGCAACGGUCUUCUGAUCCAUCCAACACAAAGCAUUUAUAUUGCUUAUCUAUGCAAAGUAUUCAAUAUGGGGUAUUCUCAGCGCUGGUUUUCUUAUGCGCCCAAAGAAAUGGAAAUUAUUUAUCUUUGUCAACAUUCAACAAACAAGAAGGAAAUCUAACUUGGAACUACAAUUCCAAAGUCAAAGGGAAAAAUGCUUAUCUUUGCUUUCUAACAGUAUUAAAACUUUUAUGUCUUCAUGAUUUGCAGGGAUUAAGGAAAACAGCACAGCGCUGGCUUUAACAAUACUUCUCUGGCUGAACACGAAGAAUACCCGGUUCAACCAGACUAGGGGGAGUAGCUGAUGAGGACUGAAAUAUGCACCAGCGCUGUGCACUAUAUAAUGGGAACAUUUCUAUUUAUGCUUAUGAUUAGUAUUAUUAUUAUUAAGCUAAUCAGUGCAGGUUUAAUUGAAGACUUGGGAUAAUAAAAGAAAUAAUAGAGCUUCCGGCGUAGUCAAGCAAGCAUAGGCGACUCAGACCAAGG